GGAUUCCCCUAGUAACUGCGAGUGAAGCGGGAAAAGCUCAAAUUUAAAAUCUAAUGGUCCUUGGCCAUUCGAGUUGUAAUUUAGAGAAGCGUCUUCCGCGCCAGACCAUGUACAAGUCUCCUGGAACGGAGCGUCAUAGAGGGUGAGAAUCCCGUCUUUGACAUGGACCCUUGGUGCUUCUGUGAUGCGCUCUCAGAGAGUCGAGUUGUUUGGGAAUGCAGCUCAAAAUGGGUGGUGAACUCCAUCUAAGGCUAAAUAUUGGCGAGAGACCGAUAGCGAACAAGUACCGUGAGGGAAAGAUGAAAAGCACUUUGGAAAGAGAGUGAAACAGUACGUGAAAUUGUUGAAAGGGAAACACUUGAAGUCAGUCGCGUCGAUCGAGACUCAGCCUUGCCUCGGCUUGGCGUACUUCUCGACUUGACGGGCCAGCAUCAAUUUUGUCCCUCGGAUAAUGGCAGGGGAAAGGUGGCACCUUCACSGGUGUGUUAUAGUCUCUUGUCGCAUGCGAGGGGUGGGAUUGAGGAACUCAGCACGCACCUCACGGUGUCGGGGCUUCGGCCCACGUUACGUGCUCAGGAUGCCGGCGUAAUGGCUUUAAAUGACCCGUCUUGAAACACGGACCAAGGAGUCUAACAUGCCUGCGAGUGUUCGGGUGGAAAACCCGUGUGCGUAAUGAAAGUAAAAGUUGGGACCUCUGUCGUGGAGGGCACCGACGCCCGGACCAGACCUUCUGUGACGGAUCUGCGGUAGAGCAUGCAUGUUGGGACCCGAAAGAUGGUGAACUAUGCCUGAAUAGGGUGAAGCCAGAGGAAACUCUGGUGGAGGCUCGUAGCGAUUCUGACGUGCAAAUCGAUCGUCAAAUUUGGGUAUAGGGGCGAAAGACUAAU
rnacentral:rRNA from 2 species